GACGAACGCUGGCGGCGUGCCUAAUACAUGCAAGUCGAACGCAGUGGGGACGGGUGAGUAACACGUGGGUAACCUCCCUUCAGAGGGGAUAACACUUUGACACAGGUGCUAAACCGAUCCUGAUGGAUGGACCCCCGGUGCAUUAGCUAGUUGGUGAGUUAACGGCGAACCAAGGCAACGAUGAAUAGCCGAGCUGAGAGGGUGAUCGGCCAAACUGGGACUGAGACACGGCCCAGACUCCUACGUGAGGCAGCAGGAGGGAAUCUUCGGCAAUGGACGAAAGGCGGACCGAGCAACGCCGCGUGAGUGAAGAAGGUUUUCGGAUCGUAAAACUCUGUUGUUAGAGAAGCGGUAUCUAACCAGAAAGCCACGGCUAACUACGUGCCAGCCGCCGCGGUAAUUC
rnacentral:rRNA from 1 species